rnacentral:rRNA from 1 species
UACGUAGGCGGAAAAUUAAGUCAGUAGUGAAAUCCUGCAGCUUAACUGUAGAACUGUUAUUGAUACUGGUUUUCUUGAAUAUAGUUGAGGUAGGCGGAAUGUGUAAUGUAGCGGUGAAAUGCUUAGAUAUUACACAGAACACCGAUUGCGAAGGCAGCUUACUAAGCUAUGAUUGACGCUGAUGUACGAAAGCGUGGGGAGCGAACAGGAUUAGAUACCCUGGUAGUCC